GACUGCCCAGAUGUGCGAAAGCGACCGUCCUAGUCCACGAAAGUGGAGGAUAAUGCCCUGAAAGGUGAAAGUCCUUGCUCUGUAAAGCUAGACCUGGGGGAGUUAGAGGGGUAGC
rnacentral:sRNA from 12 species